AUUCAGAAGAAAGAAUAUAAAAUAAGAAAUCUCAUAAGAUUGAAAACAAAAACAGGAUGGGGCAUUAUAUGCGAAAUUAAUGAGGGUAACUUCUUUGUUCCUCAAAGAAUUGUAUCAACUUUAAAUAACAGAGCCAUAAAAUAUCUGUUAAGGGGAAAAGGUUCCGUAAUAAUUUACUUAGGAAAAAAAAAUACGGGACAGGUGAACUGGACUAAUAUUGUCGAGUUUAAAAAGAUCACAUAAUUAUGUCUGCUUCCCCGUUAACAACAUUAUCAUCAUCAUCAUCACCACCACCUCCAUCACCAUCAACAUCAGCUUCUUCUUCUUCGACGUCGACUUUCGCAUUAUCAACUAUAAACUUAGAGAAAUUUAUUGAAAUUCUACGAUGUCCAAAAAAAUAUAAUUUUUUUUUACAAAACGCUAUUUCCGAUUAUGAUUAUAAAACCUUUAUAAAUUUUAUUAGAAACAAGGAGAAAAUUUUAGAAAAUAAUCAACAACAAGCAAUAAGUUUAGGAGAGAAAAAAAAAUAUGAAUACUACAUUUCAAAAGUAAAAACUUUAUUCACGCAUUUUCAAGAAAAAAUAUCCUCUUCAACAAAAUAUGGAAAAGGUUUACAACAAGAUAUACGUCAGAAAAUUUCCUUUGUUAAAAUUUCAUCAGCUUUUAAUAAUCGGCUACGAACUUAUUUAAUCAGCAAUAAUUAUUACAUAGAACCGAAAUAUUUUUUUGAACAUUGCAAGGAAAUUCUAAUUAUCAAAUUUGAAAAAAAUUUACGAAAAUUAGGAGCUUUUAAGAUUAACAUUAUAUUAAAUUGUAUUUAUCAAUUUAAAGUAACUAAAGAACAUGCCUUUCGAAGUUUUAACACCCAGAAUCAAUCAUUCUUUCACUCUGAAGAAAUUCCUUCAAUUUUAGAAAAUUUAUUUGAUGCUCUAUUAAAUCAGGUAAAAUAUAAGUAAUAACAUUUAUUUUUUUGUUAAUUUUUAUGAAAUUUACAGAUGGAUGAUUUCACUGAAAAUAAGUCUGGUGAAGCAUUAGAAAGUAUUGAAAAUUUGAUGAUUUCCAUAAACAAAUUAUCGAUAUUUAAUAUAUCGCAAAAUGAAGAAGAAGAUACCACCUCCCAUUCUAGUGACUCUGGGGGAACAUACAUUCCUCUUCCUAUUGAGCUGAAACGAAAAGGUUCUUGUUUUAUUAGUAUUUUUAAUAAGGAUAAUUAUUGUUUUGUUUAUUCUAUCUUGGCUGCACUUUUUCCUGUUAAUCACUCUAAAUAUGAGAGAGUUGAAUCUUAUCCUAGUAAUGUUCAUGAAAUUUUAAACUUAAAAAAUAUUGAAAUGCCUGUUAAAAUAAAAGAUAUUUCCAAAUUUGAAAAACAGUAUCCUACUAUUUCUAUUAAUGUAUUUAAAUUCAACGGAAAAACCCGACAAAUUGACGGUUCUAUUUAUCAUACAAAAAAUGUAAAAGAAAAACAUAUAAAUUUAUUAUAUUUAACUAAAAAUAAUAUUAACACUAAUGGUCAUUAUUGCUUAAUUACUAAUCUUGCAAAAGUAUGUGGAAGCAGCAUAAGUAAAAAUGAGCAUCAAAUAUUUUUUUGUGAUCGUUGUUUACAACAUAUUCCUUCGAAAUCAAAAGAUAAAAUUGAUAGACAUAAACGGGAUUGUUCAACAUUUCCUGCAGUUAAAACAAGCUUACCUGAACCGAAUUCCCCAGAAAGUCUUUUACAUUUUUCACAGUUUAAAUCAUUGCUACGUUUACCAUUUGUUAUAUAUGCAGACUUAUGUUCUUUUGAUAGUAAAUUAGAUAGUUUUAAGACUUACAGAGGAGUGGUUUAUUUCAGCAUUAAAAGAAAGUUGCAAAUUUGUAAAUAAAAUAUUGUUAAAACAAAAGAAAAUACUAAAUAAACCUUUAUCAGAAUUAGAAAAUGAGUUACAUGAAACAACUAAUAAUUGUAAUUUAUGUGGUUGCAACUUUACAGAUAAUAAUAAAAAAGUUACACAUCAUAACCAUUUAACUGGUGAAUUUAUUUCUACAACAUGCAAUAAUUGUAAUUUGCAAAUUCAAAUUUCAAAUAAGUUGCCAAUUUUUUUACAUAAUUUGUGUGGAUAUGACGCUCACCUUUUUAUUACAGAAUUUAUUAAUAAUUUUUCAGAUAUUGAAAUAAUACCAUUGAAUCAUGAAAAUUAUAUUUCAUUUUCAGGAAUACAUUGUAACAUGAAAAUUACGUUUUUAGAUUCUUUUCGCUUUCUACCUACAUCAUUUGAUAAACUUAAAAAUUACUGCUAUUGCUAGACGACCUUCCUCCGAUGAAAUUUUAUUAAUUGUAAAUGAUAUGGUUUAUAUUGUUUCUUUGCCAAAUUGGAGUCUUAAAUAUGGAUAUCCUAAAAAAAUUUCACAAGAAUUUAAAUUAAAUGUACCUAUCAGAGCAAUGGUUAACAAUUAUGAUGGACAAUUAUAUCUUUUUUCUGAUGAUAAAUAUGUAACAAUAAACACUCAUCAUAAUUAUAGAUCAAAUUUAGGACUUAUAUCAAAAGAUUUUAAUGGUAUACCAAAUAAAAUUACAGGGGCAAUUCGUUUUACAAACGGAAAAAUAUAUUUUUUUACUAAAAAAAAUUACUAUGAGUAUGAAGAAUUUACUAAUACUUUAAUUAGAGCUGGCAAAAAGGAUUUAUCAAUUUUUGGAAUUAAUUGUUCUAACGAACCAAUCUUAUUACAAUUAAAGAAUUUAAUCUCUUCACUUAUUCAUUUUAAUACAAAAUAUGAGGAAGCAAACGAUGAGGAUGAAAAUGAGUAAUUUUGAUAAGAUUAGUUAACCGCAAACGUAGAUAAACAGAUGUAAAGAAUUGAAUUAUCAAUUUUCUUAAGGUUAAUUAACCACAAAUAUAAAUAGAUACAUUUUUUGAUAAAUUUCAACUAUAAAAACAGUCUGAUUGAAUUUAGGUGUUAAUCUUAAAGUGACUGCGUUAAUAUGAAACCAAAUCGACUAGAACUUCUAUGUCAGAAAUGUAUUAUAGAAAAUUGUUAGAAUAAUCGAGAAGAUAUAUCAAGUUUUGAAAUAUUUUUACAUGCGAUGGUACCAACGAAAAUUUUUCAUGAAUUCUUAAUCGCAUUACCAACGAUAAGGUGGCAGGAAAUUUUUGAGAACAAGAAACCAUAUUAUGCAAAAAAUCCUGGUUCAGAUGAAGAUUUCAUCGAAGGUCUUGAAAUCUACGAGAUAAUAACAGAAAAUUGAUGAAUUAUAAAUACGAUAAAUAUAUUGAUGAUGAUAAUUUGUUUUUGCAUAUCAUGUUUGAAGUUGCAGUUUACGAUUUGUAUUUACCUUUUUUUGCUGCAUCAACAAUGUGUUUAAAAGGUUAUUAUUAUAAAUUUAAAAGUGUAAACAAAAAGUUUCGUUAUUGCAUAGACUGUUAUAAGUUUUAUAAGAAUUUAUAUAAAAAUGUACAAGAUUCAUGUAUUUUUUCGUUUAAACAAUGUUAUGAACAUACUAUAAUAAGAACAAUUGAUUUUGGAAAUUAUGUUAAGGAUGAUUUAUUUUGGUGUGCAUUAUGUAUUAAAAAACCUUUGUUUGCUAACACUUCAUCAACUUGUAGAAAAACUUGUAAAUUGAAAUAAAACUAUAAUUUUA